AUGGCAACUGGAGAGAUAACCGAAGGGAGCAGCUCCAGCCCCGAACUACCAAAGAUAUUUUCAUUUCAGUCUCUGGAAGGAAUUACGAAUAACUUCUCCCGAAUAUUCUGUAAAGAUCCAUUUGGACCAGUUUAUAAGGGAACUCUGCCAGAUACUGACAAAGAGAUUGCGGUGAAAAAACUUGAGCAAAGCGCGGAAAUCCCACCUGAGGAUUUUGAGAAUAAGGUUCAGAGUGUUUAUGAGAUUAAACAUGAAAAUAUCGUAGAGUUGAUUGGGUUCUGCAAUCAAACACUACAGAUCACUACAGAAAGGUUACUCUGCUAUGACUUUGAUCCUAAUGAGAGCCUUCAACAGCAUCUUUUUGGGCCCAAAGCAACAGAUGGCUCCAAUUCGGCUGAUCCCAGUACCAACUGGGACACAUGUUUCAAAAUAGUCAAGGGGGUUUGCCAGGGUUUACUUUAUCUACACAAGUUAGAGGAUCCCAUUACCCAUAUGGAUCUUAACCUGAAUAAUAUAUGGUUGGAUAGAGCAAUGGUGCCCAAAAUUGCCAAUCUUGGACUCUCCAGAAUCUUUAGCGAAGAUCGGAUCAAAUACUACAAAGAGGAAUCACCUAGAUACAUGGCUCCAGAAUAUCUAAACAGCACUGGCAUGUCGGUCUCAAUAGACAUAUAUAGUUUGGGGGUAAUGAUGAUCCAAAUCACCACAAGAGAGGAGAACAACGACAAUCUGGACAAGGCCUCAAGGAUAUACAUUAAAGAUAUACGGAAAAGGUGGACAGCAGAGCACAUAGCAUCCGUGUACUCAUCGCUUGAUUCAGAAUGCCUCCAUCAAGUACAUACAUGCAUAAAAACAGGGCUAGAGUGCAUGCAGAUUGAUCAGAAAAAUAGGCCUUCCAUAGAUGUAAUUGUUGACAGGCUCAACACAAUCUGA
rnacentral:rRNA from 1 species